AGAGUUUGAUCAUGGCUCAGGAUGAACGCUAGCUACAGGCUUAACACAUGCAAGUCGAGGGGCAGCAUGUUGGUUGCUUGCAACCAAUGAUGGCGACCGGCGCACGGGUGAGUAACGCGUAUCCAACCUACCCUUGUCCAUCGGAUAACCCGUCGAAAGGCGGCCUAACACGAUAUGCGGUUCACAGCAGGCAUCUAGGGUGAACGAAAUGUGAAGGAGAAGGAUGGGGAUGCGUCUGAUUAGCUUGUUGGCGGGUAACGGCCACAAGGCUACGAUCAGUAGGGGUUCUGAGAGGAAGGUCCCCCANAUUGGAACUGAGACACGGUCCAACUCCUACGGGAGCA
rnacentral:rRNA from 1 species